GUUUCAAACAGAGCUUCUACGUUUGCCGGUCGUUAUGCGUUGGUUUGUAUUUCUCUUCCAGUUCCAUUUGCAACUAAGAAGUCUAGAAAUACCAGAGGACAAAAUCAGAGAGACUGUUCCAUAAAUACCAUCAGCUGUUUUAGUUGGGUGCAGGGAAGAAGAAAGAAGGUAGAAGGAAGGCAGAAGAAGACAUACAUGAGAACCUCCAGCCACUGGGAUCUGGCUGCUAGGAGGACACUGCUGUGGAGGCUUAGCCAGCAAUGGGAAUACUAUGGUGCUAAUUGGCCAAUCCACAGCCGAGUCCCCAGGAAGAAUUCUGGCUGAUACAGAAGUAAGCACAGCACGCUUCCUCCUUGGUAUCCGGCCCCUGAGUGGAUGUGCAACAGAAGAAGGGAUCUCCUUGUUUACUAUUCCAUUAGCCAUAUGCACCUGCAUCUCUGGUCAGAACCUGGCCUUAUAGCGUUCUGUGGGGUGAGCCAG